GGCGGCGGAAGCGCUACGGUGACCGCGCGGGGCCGGGCGGAAGCGGCGGCGAGGGGCGGCGCGGAGGAGCGGAGCGGAGCGGGCACCAUGUCGGGCCGAGAGGGCGGCAAGAAGAAGCCGCUGAAGCAGCCGAAGAAGCAGUCGAAGGACCUGGACGAGACAGAUCUGGCAUUUAAACAAAAGCAGAAGGAGGAGCAAAAGAAACUUGAGGAGAUGAAAGCAAAGGCUGCUGGAAAAGGGCCCCUCACCAGCGGUGGAAUAAAGAAGUCUGGCAAAAAGUAGUUUGAUCAAACUGCAGGGUAAGAAGUGAUCGAGUUACUCAAUGGAUCUGCAGGCUUCAGAGAGUCAUGAAAACUCACUGUCAUUUGGGAAACAUUGUACAUUUUGUUUAGCUAGAAUAAAUGUUUUUUGUUAAGGUGUGA